GUCUGCUUGAAGUUGUAUGCAGUCUAGCCUGCCCACUGAUUAAUAAUUGAAGGGCCGCGGUAUUCUGACCGUGCAAAGGUAGCAUAAUCGUUAGUUUCUUAAUUGGGAUCUUGUAUGAAUGGUUGGACAAAAGAAAAUCUGUCUCUGUGACAGGAGUUGAAUUUAACCUUUAAGUGAAAAGGCUUAAAUGAAUUAAAGGGACGAUAAGACCCUAUAAAGCUUAAUAUUUGUGAGUAGUAAACUAAAUUUUUUAAAUUAUAAAAGUUUACUGUAAAACAUUUAUUAUAUUGGGGCGAUAAAAGUAAAAUGAUUAGUAACUGCUUUAUUUUUAGACAGAUUAUAAGUGAUUAUAAGUAGUAAAGGAUCCUUGGUAAAGAUUAGAAGAUUAAGUUACUUUAGGGAUAACAGCGUUAUUUUUUUUGAGAGUUCUUAUCGAAAAAAGAGUUUGCGACCUCGAUGUUGAAUUAAAAUUUCUUUACAAUUGCAGGAGUUGUUAGAGAAGGUCUGUUCGACCUUUAAAUUUUU
rnacentral:rRNA from 1 species